rnacentral:rRNA from 1 species
AGAAUCAACGCUGGCGGCGUGCCUAACACAUGCAAGUCGCACGGGAAAGGGUAGCAAUACCUGAGUACAGUGGCGCACGGGUGAGUAACACGUGAAUAAUCUACCUCCGAGUGGGGAAUAACUGAGAGAAAUCUUAGCUAAUACCGCAUAACACUUACGAGUCAAAGCAGCAAUGCGCUUGGAGAGGAGUUCGCGGCAGAUUAGUUAGUUGGCGGGGUAAUGGCCCACCAAGACGAUGAUCUGUA